rnacentral:rRNA from 1 species
UACAGAGGGGGCGAGCGUUGUUCGGAAUUACUGGGCGUAAAGGGCGCGUAGGCGGCCUUCUAAGUCGAACGUGAAAUCCCCGGGCUCAACCCGGGAACUGCGUCCGAUACUGGGAGGCUUGAAUCCGGGAGAGGGAUGUGGAAUUCCAGGUGUAGCGGUGAAAUGACGUAGAUAUCUGGAGGAAUACCGGUGGCGAAGGCGGCAUCCUGGAC